GACGAACGCUGGCGGCAUGCCUAAUACAUGCAAGUUGAACGAUGAUAUUCUCUGCUUGCAGAGAAUUGAAGAGUAGCGAACGGGUGAGUAACACGUGGGGAACCUGCCCAUGAGAGGGGGAUAACAUUCGGAAACGGAUGCUAAUACCGCAUAAUGCUUUGGACUGCCUGGUCCAGAGACGAAAGACGGCUUUUGCUGUCACUCAUGGAUGGCCCCGCGCCGUAUUAGCUAGUUGGUGAGGUAAUGGCUCACCAAAGCUGUGAUACGUAGCCGACCGGAGAGGGGGAUCGGCCACACUGGGACUGAGACACGGCCCAGACUCCUACGGGAGGCAGCAGUAGGGAAUCUUCCACAAUGGGCGAAAGCCUGAUGGAGCAAUGCCGCGUGAAUGAAGAAGGUCUUCGGAUCGUAAAGUUCUGUUAUUAGAGAAGAACAAGUCAAGGAGUAACUGUCUUGACUUUGACGGUACCUAACCAGAAAGUCACGGCUAACUACGU
rnacentral:rRNA from 1 species